UACGAAGGGGGCUAGCGUUGCUCGGAAUCACUGGGCGUAAAGCGCACGUAGGCGGAUCUUUAAGUCAGAGGUGAAAUCCCAAGGCUCAACCUUGGAACUGCCUUUGAUACUGGGGAUCUCGAGUCCGGAAGAGGUGAGUGGAACUGCGAGUGUAGAGGUGAAAUUCGUAGAUAUUCGCAAGAACACCAGUGGCGAAGGCGGCUCACUGGUCCGGUACUGACGCUGAGGUGCGAAAGCGUGGG
rnacentral:rRNA from 1 species